rnacentral:rRNA from 1 species
UACGUAGGGUGCAAGCGUUGUCCGGAAUUAUUGGGCGUAAAGAGCUCGUAGGCGGGAUGGCAAGUCGGUCGUGAAAUCCCUCGGCUCAACCGAGGAACGUCGAUCGAUACUGCUGUUCUUGAGGAUUGCAGAGGAGACUGGAAUUCCCGGUGUAGCGGUGAAAUGUGUAGAGAUCGGGAGGAACACCGGUGGCGAAGGCGGGUCUCUGGGCAAUUCCUGACGCUGAGGCGCGAAAGUGUGGGGAGCGAACAGGG